rnacentral:rRNA from 1 species
GCCAGACUCCUACGGGAGGCAGCAGUCGGGAAUAUUGCGCAAUGGAGGAAACUCUGACGCAGUGACGCCGCGUAUAGGAAGAAGGUUUUCGGAUUGUAAACUAUUGUCGUUAGGGAAGAUAAAAGACUGCACCUAAGGAGGAAGCCCCGGCUAACUAUGUGCCAGCAGCCGCGGUAAUACAUAGGGGGCAAGCGUUAUCCGGAAUUAUUGGGUGUAAAGGGUGCGUAGACGGAAGAACAAGUUGGUUGUGAAAUCCCUCGGCUCAACUGAGGAACUGCAACCAAAACUAUUCUCCUUGAGUGUCGGAGAGGAAAGUGGAAUUCCUAGUGUAGCGGUGAAAUGCGUAGAUAUUAGGAGGAACACCAGUGGCGAAGGCGAUUUUCUGGACGAUAACUGACGUUGAGGCACGAAAGUGUGGGGAGCAAACAGGAUUAGAUACCCUGGUA